rnacentral:tRNA from 1 species
GCCGGGAUGGUGGAAUGGAAGACACCUCAGAUUUAAAUCCUGAUGGUCAGUAAUGACCGUGUGGGUUCGAGUCCCACUCCCGGUAC